UGAGGAAUAUUGGUCAAUGGGCGAGAGCCUGAACCAGCCAAGUAGCGUGCAGGAUGACGGCCCUAUGGGUUGUAAACUGCUUUUAUGUGGGGAUAAAGUGCGUGACGUGUCAUGCAUUGCAGGUACCACAUGAAUAAGGACCGGCUAAUUCCGUGCCAGCAGCCGCGGUAAUACGGAAGGUCCGGGCGUUAUCCGGAUUUAUUGGGUUUAAAGGGAGCGUAGGCUGUCUAUUAAGCGUGUUGUGAAAUAUACCGGCUCAACCGGUGACUUGCAGCGCGAACUGGUCGACUUGAGUAUGCAGGAAGUAGGCGGAAUUCAUGGUGUAGCGGUGAAAUGCUUAGAUAUCAUGACGAACUCCGAUUGCGCAGGCAGCUUACUGUAGCAUAACUGACGCUGAUGCUCGAAAGUGCGGGUAUCAAACAGG
rnacentral:rRNA from 1 species